UAGUGGCAAACGGGUGAGUAACGCGUAGGCAACCUGCCUCUAAGAUCGGGGACAACAGCCCGAAAGGGCUGCUAAUACCGAAUGUUGUGAGUUUUCCGCAUGGAGAGCUCAUUAAAGAUGGCCUCUACUUGUAAGCUAUCACUUAGAGAUGGGCCUGCGUCUGAUUAGCUAGGUUGGUGGGGUAACGGCUCACCAAGGCGACGAUCAGUAGCCGGUCUGAGAGGAUGAACGGCCACAUUGGGACUGAGACACGGCCCAGACUCCUACGGGAGGCAGCAGUGGGGAAUCUUCCGCAAUGGGCGAAAGCCUGACGGAGCAACGCCGCGUGAGUGAAGAAGGUCUUCGGAUCGUAAAGCUCUGUCGAAGGGGACGAACGUAACCUUUAUCAACAACGAGGGUUAAUGACGGUACCUUUCAAGAAAGCCACGGCUAACUACGUGCCAGCAGCAGC
rnacentral:rRNA from 1 species